GACGAACGCUGGCGGCGUGCUUAACACAUGCAAGUCGAACGGAAAGGCCCUGCUUUUGUGGGGUGCUCGAGUGGCGAACGGGUGAGUAACACGUGAGUAACCUGCCCUUGACUUUGGGUUAACUUCAGGACACUGGGGCUAAUACCGGAUAGGAGCUCUCGCUGCAUGGUGGGGGCUGGAAAGUUUCGGCGGUUGGGGAUGGACUCGCGGCUUAUCCGGUUGAUGGUGGGGUAGUGGCUUACCAAGGCAUUGACGGGUAGCCUGGCUGGGCGGGUGAGAGGCCAAGUUGGGAUGGGGAUGAGACCCGGACUAGACCGGUACGGGGGGGUGCAGUAGGUAGCACUAGAGGAGGAGGCCUAAUGUAGCAAAGCCGCGCGGGGGGUGAGAGGCAUGGCUUUGGAUUGUGCAGUUGUUUGUGCUGGGGAGUUAAUGACGGUAAUAGGAGAAGAAGCCCCGGCUAACUACGUG
rnacentral:rRNA from 1 species